CCAUCACCCAAGACAUGGCUGCUCUUUUGAUGCAAGGUGUGGGAGAGGGAGGGUAAAGCUCCUCUCCAUACGAGAAAGAAAAGGAGGGAUAAAGGAGAUGAGAGCUUGGAAAGGGGGGAUAAGAUAGAAAGAAAGGCAGGAACACAAAGGAAGAUAAAGGCGGCCGUGUGCUCCUUUCAAGGAUUAAAAGGAGGAGACAAGGGGGAAUUAAAGGCCCCGGAGUCCCCCCAGCUCAAAGCCAAUGGAGAAGAGACGGCACGCACACAGAGAGGAGGUGACGAUACUCGCCUAGAUCUACGCAAAGAAUAAAAGGUUCGCCAUGGCGGUAUCCAAGAACAAGAAAGCCUGCCGCGGCGAGGCAGAUAGAUCAUCGUGCUCACACCCACAUACAUACUCCUAUAAGAAAGCAAGAGCUCCAGGACCAAGGCGCAGGCCAGGGAGAGGCGGAGAACAAGACCACCAAGAUCCAAGCCGGCAGAUUAUAGCUUACCUGAUGCCACUGCGCCGCAUCCAUGCAUGCAAGGAUCCCAAUUCCGCUCCUCGCCAGCGGUUCUCCCGUGUGGUGGUUGUUGCCUCCGAGGGGCGAGGAAGAAGACGUACGAGCUGAGGACGACUACGACGACGAGGACGAGGACGAGGCGCAGGAGGAAGGAGGAGGAGGAGCGUACUGGAGCUGGAUGGGACGGGCGAGGGAGGAGGAAUGUCCUGUGUAGUGGAAUUGCUCCCCGGCCCCCUUCUCUAGUCUUCUCCUUCAUAUGUCAUGAGACGAGAUAGUGCGAUUCUUUUUCUCGCAAUAUUUUUAUGCGUCUAGCUAGGCUCGCUCGCUGGAGGCUGCUGCUGCUGCUGGUGCUGGAGCGAAGCGAAGCGAGGAGGAAGAGCAACCGAAAUCGGUGCCCCGGCAGUUUUCGGAAACGCGUCAAAAAAUUUCGUCCAUGUAACGCUUUUCCAAGCGUGCUAGCUUUGUCCGUGUACGUAGCGAUUUUUUUU